GAGUUGGAGCAUGGCAGGCCUUUUCCUGGCCCCUCCUCUCGCCUGUUAAUGUCGGAUGAAGCUGAUUCAGACCUCGAUCCGAGGACAUAUUAUAACAUGCUCCGCAGUUUUGUUGCCCAGUAUUCCUCACAGGUCGCUGAAAGAAACCAGCAAGAGCUGAAAGAGGUGGCUACACCUGGAAUGGACUACGUCCUCCUGAAAGUCACAAAGAGAAAGUGGGCUGAGCCUCGCUGGACAGGCCCUUACCGCAUAACAGAGCGGACCUCCCACGCUGUCAGGCUCGAAGGGAAAGGUGACACCUGGUUUCAUUACACACAGUGCGCUGCUGCCACCGAACCAGGAAGAACCUUAAGAGAGGUGCAGAAGGACCUGUCAGAAGGAGCUGCAACAGCAUCACCAACCACUUGAGGGAGCCAAAACUCAACCUACAAGCCGGCUGGUUACAAAAGGGGGUGUUCUUCAUACUGAACUAAACAUUUUUUUUUUUUAUUUUUAACAUCUUUUAUGACUUUGCUUUUAUAUUGGCUUGAGUUUUUAAGAUUUACAUUUUACAUUGCAAUAGUUUUAACCGCUGAAAGCUCAUUUAAAGUUGUGUCACUGAUACUUUUUGUUGCUCUUUAACUCCUAGAACACGCCCUUGGCGAGGUGGGGGGAACUGGACCACCUUUCUGUGCCCCAUCAUCCUCUAUUAGACGACAUCCAAGCUAAGACAGCUGUUACUGCUUUCGUCGGGAACCGAGACUGCUUGCAGCCGACCCCUGGGCAGGGUGGUGCCUGGACUCUUUUCUCCUCAUCUGCAAUGACAGAUAAAGACAAAUGAUAAGACCCGAGGAGUUUUUCGAGCCAGGCUUCGACACGUCUCUGUGUUCCUUUGAAUGUUACUUAUGUUUGUGUGUUGACCCAUUUAAGAUGGGUCAAAAGGGGGAUUUGAAGAAAAUAUAAUCUGAUCAAACAUUAUUCAGCUUUAAAUAUUGUUCAGCUUUAAAGUUACUGUGCAACUGUGUAAUAAAAAUGUGCUCACG
ensembl:lncRNA